AGUGAACGCUGGCGGCGUGCUUAAUACAUGCAAGUCGAACGAUGACGUCCUAGCUUGCUAGGAUGGAUUAGUGGCGCACGGGUGAGUAAUAUAUAGUUAAUCUGCCUUGCACUGAGGAACAACAGUUGGAAACGAUUGCUAAUACCUCAUACUCCAACUUUACAUAAGUUAAGUUGGGAAAGUCUUUUCGGUGCAAGAUGAGACUAUAUCGUAUCAGCUAGUUGGUAAGGUAAUGGCUUACCAAGGCUAUGACGCGUAACUGGUCUGAGAGGAUGAUCAGUCACAUUGGAACUGAGACACGGUCCAAACUCCUACGGGAGGCAGCAGUAAGGAAUAUUGUGCAAUGGGGGAAACCCUGACGCAGCAACGCCGCGUGGAGGAUGACACUUUUCGGAGCGUAAACUCCUUUUGUUAGGGAAGAAUAAUGACGGUACCUAACGAAUAAGCACCGGCUAACUCCGUG
rnacentral:rRNA from 1 species